AACGAACGCUGGCGGCAUGCCUAACACAUGCAAGUCAAACGAACCCUCCGGGGUUAGUGGCGCACGGGUGCGUAACGCGUGGGAAUCUGCCCUUUGCUUCGGAAUAACAGUUAGAAAUGACUGCUAAUACCGGAUGAUGUCUUCGGACCAAAGAUUUAUCGGCAAAGGAUGAGCCCGCGUAGGAUUAGGUAGUUGGUGGGGUAAAGGCCUACCAAGCCGACGAUCCUUAGCUGGUCUGAGAGGAUGAUCAGCCACACUGGGACUGAGACACGGCCCAGACUCCUACGGGAGGCAGCAGUGGGGAAUAUUGGACAAUGGACGCAAGUCUGAUCCAGCAAUGCCGCGUGAGUGAUGAAGGCCUUAGGGUUGUAAAGCUCUUUUACCAGGGAUGAUAAUGACAGUACCUGGAGAAUAAGCUCCGGCUAACUCCGUGCCAGCAGCCGCCGUAAGAC
rnacentral:rRNA from 1 species